CAAGACUGAACUACAGCCUCACAAGGAAUGAUCGUGUGUCAUUUUGACAUGAGGCAGCAAUCCUCAAAGCAGAAAUGAAGAUUCAAUUGUCAUUGCUUUUUGGAUUGGACUAAUUUCUUUUGUGGCAUUUCUUUUCUUCAUUUUGUUCUACAUAUCUCGGCUGGAUCAUACACCAAAGAAGAAUGGAAGAGCAUAGAAAAGGAUUCAGUAUUCGUCAAAAUACUUUAAUCAUGCCAGAUCAACUUCUGUAGAUGAUCAAGUGGAAAAAACAGAGGGGAUCUGUUCAAAUAGUAGGUCAUUGUACAGUAUCAUAAUUUGAGAAAUACGGUUUGAAUCAUCACAGUUAAAAUGUGCACUGUACUUUUGUUUUCGUUUAGUCGUUUAGUCCUGUCCGACUCUUCGUGACCCCAUGGACCAGAGCACGCCAGGCCCUCCUAUCUUCCACUGCCUCCCGGAGUUAUUUAAGUUUAAAAGUUGAAAUGUGGAUUGUAUUUUAACAUGAUCACAGAAGGAUACAGGGUUGGAAGCAUCUUCUUGAAAGUACAUAAUCAGUUCAGAGCACUUUCUUACAGAUAGAAGUUAUUAAAUGAAUAAAAUCAAGUAGUUACUUCAGGUGUAAUAUAGAAAAAUGAGCAUUUCAGAGUUGAAUUUAAAUCUUAAAACAAAUAUGGGCAUGGUCAAAAUAUGGUCUUCACUAAUCCUUUAGUAAUUUAACUGUAGAUUAUUUUCUAUAGUGUUUUCUGUAAUGUAAGUGGAAAUUGCAAACUAACCUGGAAAUAUUUCAUUGGGUUGUAUGUCUGACAUUUUUUAAAUAAUUGAAUUUCCUAGUUUUAAAGGAAGAAUUAUCUUUGCAAUCUGCUAAGGCAAAUCGGGUGUGCUGAUUUGCUGAAGCUGAUAUUAAAAACUCCAUAAAAACAAUUUUUCCCAUGUAUACUAUUUUGGUAUUUCUUCCAGCAAUGUAGGAUUUAGAAUGAAGCCCCUUGAAGCAUUUUAGCACUCUGGGAAUUCAAUAUUCAAUAAUACAGUGUACUUAUACCUAUACCAAAAAGAAAUACAGUGGUGCCUUGCUUUACAAUCGCUCCAUUUAACGACGA